UACCAGCACCCCGAGUGGUCGGGACGAUUAUUGGGCCUAAAGCAUCCGUAGCCGGUCCUACAAGUCUUCCGUUAAAUCCAGCUGCUCAACAGAUGGGCUGCGGAAGAUACUAUAGGGCUAGGAGGCGGGAGAGGCAAGCGGUACUCAGUGGGUAGGGGUAAAAUCCGUUGAUCCAUUGAAGACCACCAGUGGCGAAGGCGGCUUGCCAGAAUGCGCUCGACGGUGAGGGAUGAAAGCUGGGGGAGCAAACCGG
rnacentral:rRNA from 1 species